UUCCCCACAAAAUAAAUCUUUGGCUUCUAAUUGGUUUUAAUUAGAAAGGGAACGUAGAAGGGAAAGGGUUUCAAUCUCUCUAAGAUUGAAUCAAUCUCUCUAGGGCUCAUCUUCUCUUCGGUUGUGUAUCUGAAAUUAGAGUUAUCUAUUUCUUCGACAUGGUGAUCUUCCUGUAAGGAGUCCUUGGAAGCAACAAUUGAGAGUGUAUUUCAUUGACUGGUAAGCAAGGAUGAUGCAUUGUAGAUGUAUAGUAGUAUGGUUACCCUUCAAACUAUGGACACCAUCUUCUACAAAGCACAAAGGCAAGGAAGAAUUUCCUUUUAUCUCAUUUUUUUGUACUCUCUGCUUUCUUAUUUGUUUGUCGUUUUGUCUUGACAUAGGGGUUGCACAUGAUUGACCUCAUGGAGUGUGCCAACCUAGUUAGGAUGCUUUAUGUUUUGACAGGAAGAGUGCACCUAGAUAAUAGAAAUGCAUCAAACCCUUAUCAUGAAUGUAGUGACUUUUACUUUAGAAUAAUUGCUGAAACAAAGGCACAGAUGGAUAAAAAUGAUCAAGGGAAGCUUCUUUUUCUUUUUUCUAUUUUCUUUUGUGUGUGCGUGUAUGGUUUUUUGUUUAUUGAAUUCCUUGAAGCAAUUUUACAACCAAUAGAAUUCAAAGCUACAUAACUCUAUAUAUAAUAUUUAUCAAAGUUAUUAUAUAUGUUUUGUCAUUAUUUGUUAAAGUGAUUUCAUAUUGCAUGUACUGUGGUAAUGAAUAACUAUUGUAGGCUUUCUUGUAUGAUACUCACCAUGCUAAUGCAUUCGUAAGGUUUGCAUACUUUGUUUCUAAACUUGGCAACUAAUCUAGUGGAAAAGUUAAUGCUGUAGAGUGGCUCUGUAUAAAUUUUUAUCAAUUUUUCUCUGGAUGGUCAUAGUGGUGGGUUUGGUCCAUUAGAGGGCAACAUGCUAUCAAAGCCUAGCUUCUCAUGAUUUUUCUGAAUGAAUGUUAGCUUUUUUAUUUACACCCACUGUUGUUUGUAAUGAAAGCAAAUAACUAGGAAUUUUUGUUUCUCUUGUCUUGAGCCUCAUUUUGCUUCCCAAUUAUGUUAACUAAUUUGGAAACAUUUACAUAGGAUUAGGAGGAGAUUGAUAGAUAAUAAUAUAAAGUGUCUUUCUUGCUAUGUGGAAAAGAGGCAACCUAUGAAAUUUUUGUAGAAGUUGGCAGUAGAGCUAUCCUCGGCAAAAAUUAGUGCUAAGUGCUAACUUUAUAAUUGUUAUUAUGAAGUAAUCAAAUCAAUUUAAUGCAUGCAGGUAUGAGCCACUAUCUUAUUUUGUUGGAAGGGAGUACUUUAUCCAUGUUUAUGAUCCAAUAUAUGCUCUCUCUACUGAUGUUGUUUCAAGCUUGGUUGCUCUAAGAAGGGAAGCUUCUGAAGACGAAAUCCAAGUUGCUCGGAAUUUUCUAAUGUAAAGAUAUGAGGGGCACAAGCUGAGUGUUGAUGCAAUUGAAUCAAUCCAUGAUGGUGCACUCACAAGAAGAUAUUUAGGUAAAUUUUGUAUUGUUUAGAACUUAAAGAUAGGGUUUUUUGUGUGUGUGUGCGCGUGCGCGCGUGUGGAUGAUUUAGAUCUUUUUGGACGGUUUUGAAGUUGAGGACAAUUUUUGAUGUUUAGAGACAUAGUUUUUGGAUGGUUUAGAAUGUACAGACGGUUUUCAGAUGUUUGAAACUUAUGAAUAAUUAUUUUGAUGUUUGAAAUAAUAUUUUGGUGGUUGAUUGAUUCUUGUUUGUAAUGUUUUUUAGAUUGUACAAAACAUGUGAAACAAAACUUGCUGAAUUAAAAAAAAAAAUUAAACAUAUUCUACCACUACAACAAAACUGAGCUUUUACGACUCCACAUUAACGACAUACAGUAAAUGCAAGUCGUGGUUUCUCAAUUUUACGACUUGCUUUUUUUGCAUGUUGUAAAUAAUUUCCCAACCACGACGUGUCUAUUGCGUAGGCCGUGAAUGCUAAUAAUGAUGAUUUUUUUACGACUUGCAAUAUUAGCUGUAAAUAAUAAAACUUUCUACGACGUGCUUUUGGCAUGCCGUUAAUACAUUAACUAUACAUGACACGCGUACGCCAGUCGUUAAAAAUAUUACACUUUUUACGGCGCACAAAAAGUCAACCGUUAAAAAGUACACUUUUCAUGAUGCACAUAUACUAGCCGUUAAAAAUAUUUUACUUUUCAUGACAUACAAUUUCUGUCGUGAAUAAUAUGAUCAAAAUAAAAAUAGGCGCCAAAAUAAAAAUUUUAAGCGCCAAAUACCAAAAAAAAAUUUAAAAAGAAAAAAAAAAUCAUAAAUUCUAACUCUUCAACCCCAAAACCAAAAACCUAACCUUCUAUUCAUCAUCAUCAAAAACCCCAAUAACUCUUCAAACCCAUACACGGUUACACUUCCUCUCUCUCCCCUCUGCCUCCG